GACGAACGCUGGCGGCGUGCUUAACACAUGCAAGUCGAACGGGGUUAAGGAGCUUGCUUCUUAACUUAGUGGCGAACGGGUGAGUAACGCGUGAGGAACCUGCCUUUCAGAGGGGGACAACAGUUGGAAACGACUGCUAAUACCGCAUGAAACCGUAGUACCGCAUGGUACAUCGGUCAAAGAUUUAUCGCUGAAAGAUGGCCUCGCGUCUGAUUAGCUAGUUGGUGGGUAACGGCCUACCAAGGCGACGAUCAGUAGCCGGUCUGAGAGGAUGAACGGCCACAUUGGGACUGAGAUACGGCCCAGACUCCUACGGGAGGCAGCAGUGGGGAAUAUUGGGCAAUGGGGGAAACCCUGACCCAGCAACGCCGCGUGAAGGAAGAAGGGCCCUUCGGGUU
rnacentral:rRNA from 1 species